UUGCGUUGGCAGGAGAACCAGCAUUAUGAGCAGCCAAAACAAAAACAGAAUUACCUGGAAAAACUCAGCAGGUCUGGCAGCAUCGGCGGAGAAGAAAAGAGUUGACGUUUCGAGUCCUCAUGACCCUUCAGGCCGGCGCUAGCGCAGGCGCAUUAUCAGAACCUGUCCUGCCCUGCUCUGCUGCGCCGGCGCAGUGCUGCUAGUUUGUGGAUGCGGAAUGAGGGCGGCGCGAGCUGGGGGUGUUCAUCACACUGCAGAAACCACUACACUAAUUCAUCAAGACUCUCUAGAGCCACAGCACAAGAGCAUCAGAAUCCGGGAAUGCUUGUCAGCACUAUGGCUGAAGAUCCAAACAGAGUAGAGGAUCCAACAUCUUCAGGAAUAAGAAUAGACACAGAUCAAAACUUUACAAAUACUGAGUUCUUGACAAAAUGCAAUGAAUACCAGCUGUUCCAGUUGACGAAAUUAUGCCGGGACAGACUAGAACAGGGGAUUGAAGAAGGAGUGGACAAAGUCAGCUUGUUGUUAACAAAUGAGAAGCAUUUCAGUGAUCAAGAACAUCAGAAAGUCACUGAGCUUGCGGAGAAGGGAAACCGGGCAGACAGUUCCAAACUUCUCCUAAAUCUGGUGAUGAGGAAAGGCUCUCAGACCCAAAGAGUGAUGUGGGAAUCCUUUGUGAAAAUGCGCUAUGAAUUACCAAAGUUGGAUAAAAUACUGAAAGAAAUACAGGAACUUGGUACAGUAAAAUCACACGGUUCUGAAUCAUUUGAUUUUGUCAACAUUGUCCGAGGUUUACCCGAAGUUCCCAGUACCCUGAAAGAUGUUCAACAGAAACACAAAAAGAUGCUCCAGGAACAAACUGAAACACUGAGAGUGAACACUAUCCUAACCAAGGAGAAGGUUAAGAUUUUCCAGCUGAUUGAUCGAUACGCUGAGCUAACGAUCAUUUCUAAUGUUCGAGAUCGGACACUUGUAGAACAUGAGCUGCUGGCAAGAGGCCGAGAUCAUGAAGAGUGGAGAGAGAAGCAUCUCCAGAGAGAACUGGAAAAAAUCCGAACUGAUCAAUUGUUCCAGAGCAGUUUUUCCUGGAUAGGCUUUUUGUUCCAGAAAGCUAAGAGUCUCUUUUGGCAAUCAAAUUCUGGGAGUUCAGCAGCAGUGAGCGGAGUCCCGGGGAUUGGAAAAACAACAAUGGUACAAAAGAUUGUUUAUGAUUGGGCCACUGGGAAAAUAUACCCAGACUUUCAAUUUGUUUUCAGUUUUAAAUUCCGGGAACUGAAUUCUAUUAAUUCUAGAAUAAACCUGAGCAUUUUGAUACUGGAUCAGUAUCCUUACUUUGGAAAUGUUCUGGGAGAGCUCUGGAAGAACCCAAAGGGAUUGCUGUUUAUAUUCGAUGGUUUGGAUGAAUUCAAGGACAGGAUUGAUUUUGCUGACAAUCGGAGAAAUACAGAACCUCAGUUCAUGUGCACAGGUCCUGAAUGCUGGUGUGAAGUGUCUGACAUUGUGUACAGUUUAAUACAGCACAAGCUGCUCCCAGGAUGUUCAGUGCUAGUGACCAGCCGCCCGACUGCAUUACAUUUAUUGGAAAAGGCUGAGAUCAGUGUCUGGGCUGAAAUCCUGGGAUUUGUUGGUGAAGAGCGGAAGGAAUAUUUCAACAAGUAUUUUGAAGAUCAGACGGUGGCAGCAGCUGUCUUCAAACACGUGGAGGAGAACGAGAUCCUGUACACCAUGUGCUACAACCCUUCCUACUGCUGGAUCCUCGGCCUGUCACUGGGUCCCUUCUUUACACAAAGAAACAGGAAACAGCAGCAGGUUCCCAAGACCGUCACCCAACUAUAUUCCUACUAUAUUUACAACAUUCUGAAAAACCAUGGCCGAGAGAUUGAAAACUCCCGUGAUGUGUUACUGAAGCUUGGUGAGAUGGCCUUCACAGGAGUCUCUGAGAAGAAGAUUGUUUUUGGAAAUGAAGAUUUGACCAUGUACAAUUUGCAACCUUCUCAGUUCCUGUCUGGGUUCAUGAUGGAACUUUUGGAGAGAGAGCUUUCCAUCCAUAAUGUGGUUUACACAUUUCUGCACCUCACCAUCCAAGAGUUUGUAGCUGCGCUCACACAAUUUCUGACUCCAGAACCUGGGGACAUCCAUAAGCUCCUCAGUGAAGCGGACAGUGAGGAAGACAGGCGAUUUGAAAUAUUUCUCCGUUUUGUUGCUGGUCUCUCCUCCCCACAGUCAGCUUGGCCCCUGAAGGAGUUUCUCGGUCCAUUUUCUCAACAAACGACUCACCGAGUGAUUGACUGGGUGAAGAGCAAGGUUGAAGGACAGAUUGGAAACAAAGCAAGUGAAGCUGGUAAAAGGAACCUCCUGAACACAUUCCACUACCUGUUUGAGUCUCAGAAUAAAGCACUGGCUCAGGCCACAGUGGGAUCUGUGGAAAUACUUACAUUUAGUAACUUGGCACUGACCCCAAUUGAUUGUGUGGUCCUGUCUCAUGUCAUUGGACUCAGUGAUACAAUAAAACACCUUGAUCUGCAGAACUGUUACAUUCAGUAUGAAGGACUCCAGCGGCUGGAACUCGUACUGCAUAAAUGUCGUGUGUUGAGAUUGAGAAGUAAUAAUCUGGGAGAUUCAGAAAUGAAACUGCUGUUGGCAGCUCUGAAAAAUCCAGACUCUAAACUAGAGGAACUGGGGCUGGAGGAAAACAGUUUCACGGAUUCUUCUGCUGAUGAUCUUGCCUUUGGUCUCAGUAAAAACCGGUUGCUGACUCAUCUGAACCUGAGUAAUAAUAAACUGGGAGAUUCAGGAUUGAAACUACUGUCUGUGGUUCUGAGGAACCCAGACUGUAAAAUACAGAAACUGGGGCUGGCUGAUGUUAUUCUCACAGCUUCUUCUGCUGAGGCUCUUGGUUCCAUUCUCAACACAAACCAGUCACUGAUUGAGCUGAAUCUGAGUAGUAACAAACUGGGAGAUUCAGGGGUGAAACAAUUGUCUGCAGCUCUGAGGAAUCCAGACUGUAAAAUACAGAAACUGGUGCUGAUGGACGUGAGUCUCACAUCCUCUUGUGCUGAGGAUCUGGCUUCUACUCUCAGUGCAAACCCAGUACUGACUGCUCUAAACCUGAGUUAUAAUAAACUGGGAGAUUCAGGAGUGAAACUACUGUCUGAAGCUCUGAGAAAUCCGGUCUGUAAAAUACGAAGACUCUGGUUGUGUGAUAAUGGCCUCUCAGCUUCUAGUAUCAAGGAUAUCGCCUUCGCUCUCAGUACAAACCGAUCACUAACAGAAUUAGACCUGGGUCACAACAAAUUGCGCGACUCAGGAGUGAAGUUCCUGUCUGAAGCUCUGAAGAGCCAGGACUGCAAAAUACAGAAACUGCGAUGCUGUCAGACUUGCUCAGUUUUUUCCAGCUGGAUGAUACCCGUCUCACAGAUUCUUGUUCCGAUGAUCUCGCCUCCGCUCUCAGUACAAACAGAUCACUGAUAUGGCUGAACCUGGAGUUAAACUCCUUCACAGACCAAUCUAUCCCUGCGUUCUGCUGCCUCAUAAAAAACAAUAGCAGUCUGGAACGGAUCGAACUGUGGAAGAAUGGAUUCAGUUCAACUGGAGAAAACCGACUGAAGUUGCUCCAGGGCAUAAGACAUGGACUGAGUGUGGAGUUGUCAUCACGUUAAUUUAUAAGCAUUCCUGCCCUGAUUAUAGGAACAUUUUUGGCCAAUGUUUCUGUCAUUCCCCUUUAAGCAGCCGUACUCCAGGUUUAAAUCCGAUUGGCUGUUUCCUAGUUUCUAGCUCGAUCUGUGAGCGCCAUUUUCAAUUGUGAUGUCAGAGGCCCAGUAACAGGGUCACGAUAAUCAGUCGUCUGGCCCCAUAUUGUUGCUUCUGCCGCAAAUCCAGGGCUGAAUGUUCCCCACUGAUAUUGGGGAAAUAUACAAACAUGAAGGACCCAGGGAUGGGGAUCAGUCUGGGCUGAAGUGGGACACUGACAAUUGCAGUCAUUAUUCCUACGUUUGCCCAGGGUUCCUGCUCAGUAUCAGUGCCCAGUGACUCUUUUGUGAAUUGAAUCUUUUUACAGACAGGAUGGAGAUGUUCAGCUUGGUUGGGUCUCACUGUCCAAUAGGGACCAAUACCCAUUUCUGUGACCUACGCAGAGUAUCUUACUCGGGAGGCUCCGGAGACUGGCGUACCCAGGUUUGGCCAGCACAUUGAGAGCAAACAUGCAGAAAGUGCCAAGUGAGAAUCCCACUAUUCCUUGUGGGAAUUGUGUGCAUUUGCAGUGUUGAAGGACCCCAAACUGUUUCUUGCACCAACAGGAGGAUAGUUACUUGUGCUCGGAUGGAAAUUAAACCCUUUACAUUCUUCGCUUUUUAAACAGAAUCAUCUCAGAAUCAAUCUCCAAACAUGAGAUUAUGAAAAUACCAAAUCAGCUCCAACAAACAUCCUGAGGAAUGGACUCAUUGUUAGUCGUAGUCACAUUGUACAAAGCAAUGGUUUACACUUGGAAAUGUUGCUGAAUUUGUUAACCUUCACUUCUGUAUCCUUGCCUCUUGAAUUUUUUGAUUGGUACUGAUAAUUAUUAUUUUGUGUGAUAUUGAAUUAAAUGCUGCUUUGUCGUAA